rnacentral:lncRNA from 1 species
CUUCAAGAAGCAUUUAGAGUAAAUUUGUUCUCUGGAGUCUGGUCAUUUGUACUGUCUUUGUUACAAUGGCUACAAUGUGUCACACUGAAGGUAGGUAUUGAUGGGAAUAUAAUAAGUUUUUUAAAAGAACUGCCAUAGACGUUAAAGAGGGAGAGCCUCGAGACAAAUGAGAUAAGGACAAAAAGUCACUGCAGAGACUUCAUAGGAAAGGAAAAAGAAUCCUAAAGUGUUCUGGAUAGAUUUGCCUUGCCGUAGAAAUGCAGAGAAGUAGGUUAAGGAUGAGUGUUUGAAGGGGCCUUUUUGCAGACACAGAUGUAAGCAAAUCAAACUCUAUUAGAAGGAGAUAGGGAGUGAAGUUACCCCUAACACAGGAAACUGGGAGGAAGCUUAGCUUAGCCCUUGGUGAAACACACACUCUCAUCUCUGAUUAAAAAACUCGUGGGUUCAGGUUGGAAAAUGCUUUAUUAAAGUAGUAAUUUAAAGAUCAUUGCCAUCAGGGAAAGCUCAUUUUGUGCCCCUUGCUUUAGGGCAGCAAAAUGAUUGUAUUACCAGUACACAGCCAUUGAAGAAUUUCUGACUCAGUAUUCCUGAGGACCUGACAUCUUUUGGUGCUUUCAUUUUUGUUGCCUCUUUUAUGAACCUAUUGCCCUACAGACAGGAGGCAGAAGAAAUUGUGUGAAUUUGCCAAAAGGAUGGAAAUCUGGCUAGGAUGUUACAGCAGGUGUGAUAUAUUGCUCAUAACUGCAGUAUGUAACACCCACUUUGUAGCCAGGACAAAAUAAUUACUCAAGCAAUCAACAUGGACAGAUCUGUAAAUAGCCCAUUCUGUCUCUUAGUAAAAGGAAGGGGGAUGAUAAGAAAAAUUGGUGGGUGUUAUGCUGAGAAAGGCCUAUGCAAGGAAAGACAGGAGAGAGAGAGAAAACGAAAUACCAAAGUGCUGAAUUGCUGGAGGAAAUGACUUUGCUGGAAAGAUGAAAUCUGAAAACUAACCACCUUGCCACUUGUGAGUGUAGAAAAUAAAACCUGUUAUUUGCGAACCUCUCA